rnacentral:rRNA from 1 species
AACGAACGCUGGCGGCAGGCUUAACACAUGCAAGUCGAGCGCCCCGCAAGGGGAGCGGCAGACGGGUGAGUAACGCGUGGGAAUCUACCCAAUACUACGGAAUAGCUCCGGGAAACUGGAAUUAAUACCGUAUGUGCCCUACGGGGGAAAGAUUUAUCGGUAUUGGAUGAGCCCGCGUUGGAUUAGCUAGUUGGUGAGGUAAUGGCUCACCAAGGCGACGAUCCAUAGCUGGUCUGAGAGGAUGAUCAGCCACACUGGGACUGAGACACGGCCCAGACUCCUACGGGAGGCAGCAGUGGGGAAUAUUGGACAAUGGGCGAAAGCCUGAUCCAGCCAUGCCGCGUGAGUGAUGAAGGCCUUAGGGUUGUAAAGCUCUUUCAGGUGGGAAGAUAAUGACGGUACCACCAGAAGAAGCCCCGGCUAACUUCGUGCCAGCAGCCGCCGCAGUAA